AUGGAGAGUGGACAAAGCUUGACCCAGGUCAUCUCUGAAAUGCAGAAUGAGAUCAGAAAGCUGGAGAGCGAAAACAAAGCACUUCGUGGGCAGCUUGACUGGCCGGCGUCAGGCUUGGACUCAAUGAAGCAGAAGGACGGGUCACAGGACAGCUCAACCCACGCCAGCCUGAGAAGAAACGUGUCUGCACCACAACUUGAGGGACAGUACAAAGAAAACAUUAUUAUGACCGUGCGAAGAUACUCCAUAUCCUCAAACUCCAUCAACGGCUCUAGAAAGAAUGAGAUUUUGCACAAGCCGAGACGAUAUGAGGAGACUGUGAACAACAAUAAAUGGGCAAAACUACAUGAUGGUUCACACGGGCGUCCUUCCAGUGCCUAUGCUAAAUCAGACAUGGAGAAGUUAACCAACAGACAUUGCCUUCAAGAUUAUGUCAACAAAAACAGGUGAGUUAAGCUUUAGUCAGUAUGAAAUAUUAAUUAGAACAUAGUAACUUAUAUGCUAAUCAUUAUAUUUAAUAUUUUAGAGCCAAAGUCAAGACGGUAACUUUCCUGUUGCCAGUGGAUGACAUUUAUACCAAUCGGCCUGUACUAGCCGAACACCUGUCAGAAAGAAGCACCUGUGAACUCCAAGCGAUAGCGGAAACGGACUCGUGAAAUCUAAACUAAUGGUGGGAAACACCCGCAAAACGGAUGUUUGUGAAGCUGACAAAGAGGAAGUGCAGUAAUGUGGUCAAACUCUGUCCAGACACAUUUUUAGUUGAGUCCUGUGGUGAAUUAAUACCCACACCUGACCUCAACGCUUUGACUCCUGUUACAGAUUUAGUUUCUCGAAUUCAUCCAGCUGAAGAAACUCAAGUCAUCUCUUGGUCUCGUCCGAUGACCUGUCAGUCCCGCUCCGGCGUUUGGAUCGGGUGUCUGCUUGUGUGAAGAACCAGUGGAAAUGUGCGCUUCUCGCUCACUUUACUGAGUUUGGUGUAAAUUGUCAGUUCAUAGCACUUUGAAGGACGAAGAUUACUUAUUUACAUCAGAUUGUUUUUAACUUUCCAUGAAAUCUCCCAUUAUUUUAUUGUGUUAGCUUACUUAGUUUGAACAUACAUGUAAGUUUACUUACAAAAAUGUUCAAGGUGAUAGUUCACCCAAAAAUAAAAAUGAAAUUUCUGUUAUAAUUUACUCA
ensembl:lncRNA